AUAAGAAUUCCCAGGAUGUUGUUGAGAUGCAGAUUCUGAUUCAGUAGAUGGGGCUCCAUGGGAAUAGGACCUGAGAUUCUGCGUUUCUAAUAAACACCAGAGAGAUGCUAGU
rnacentral:pre_miRNA from 1 species